rnacentral:rRNA from 1 species
UACGUAGGGGGCAAGCGUUGUCCGGAUUUAUUGGGCGUAAAGAGCGUGUAGGCGGCCGUACAGGUCAGCUGUGAAAACUCGAGGCUCAACCUCGAGACGUCGGUUGAAACCGUACGGCUAGAGUCCGGAAGAGGAGAGUGGAAUUCCCGGUGUAGCGGUGAAAUGCGCAGAUAUCGGGAAGAACACCCGUGGCGAAGGCGACUUACUGGACACAUAUUGACGCUGAGGUGCGAAAGCGUGGGGAGCAAACAGG